AAGAUUACUAAAUAUCUUGUCAUUAAUAAGUAAUUACUUGCAGGACUUUCAUAGGAAGUGACUGAAUAUAUGGUCACAAUGUUCACAAAUGAUAGUAAUUUUUUUUGCUAACAAAAAAAGAAAAAAAAUGCUGAAGUGUCUCGUCAUUUUACUUGGUUAUCGUAAUGUUCACACUAUAAUUUCUCCCCAAUAUCAUAAUUUUCAGCAAGUGGAUG
rnacentral:lncRNA from 1 species